AGAGAUGGGUGUAACCCAUUGGGAACUGAACAGCCCACCUUUAACCUAUUUUGAUGAAGAACAGUCUAUGCAAAGCCUUUGAUGUUUCCUGAUAUAAAUAAAGCAGGCCUGGGCUCCAUUUUGCCAUAGUGUAGAAGCUUGAUCCAUAUGAUCUGCUUGCCUGGGAUUUUGAGAUUAUUUUCAGUGUCCAAUUGUUUUUCCAUCAUUUUACUUUUCCUAACUUUUAUUUCUCAGCCAGGCCAUUCCACCAAGGGGAACUCCAUUUCCACCACCUGCGCAGGAUACAGGUAAGAGAGUCCUAAUUUUUUUUUAAAUCUUUUGUUAUCUGCAUAAAUCUUUCUUUUGUAAGUAGCAUGAGACUUACAUAAAACAUAGUUAUAAUGGGAUGCUUUAAGCAGAUAACAACUUAUCUUAGAGCACAUAAAACAUGACACUUUUAUUCCACCACCCCCACAAUUGAUGUCUUGGAUGACACCAUUUAUAUCUUUACAUGUUGCAUAUCCCUUAACAAAUUGUUAUAGCUCUUAUUACUUCUAAUUGUUUUGUCUUAACCUUUAUACUAAAGACAUGUGAUUCGCACAUCAUUACAGUUUUAGAGUAUUCUGAGUUUAACUGUGGUCUUACUUUUUAGUUCUUUUCUUUUUUUGGGUUCCAGGGAUUGAACUCAGGGCCAUUCAACCACUGCGCCACAUCCCCAGCCCUAUUUUGUAUUUUAUUUAGAGACAGGGUCUCACGGACUUGCUUAGCACCUCCCCAUUGCUAAGGCUGGCUUUGAACUUGAGAUUGUCCCAUCUCAGCCUUCUGAGGUGCUGGGAUUACAGGCAUGCAUCACCACGCCCGCCCGGCUGUGGUCUUACUUUUACUAGUGAGUUUUAUACUGUUGUACAUUUUUAUGUCACUAUUUAACAUUCUUUCCUUUUGACUCGCUUUAGCAUUUCUUUGAAGACACAUCUUAUGGUGAUGAACUCUUCAGCUUUUGUUGUCUUGGAAAGUAUUUUUCCUUCAUUUCUGAGGGACAGCUUGGCUGGGUACAGGAUUCUUGAUUGGGAGUUUUUGUUGUUUGGAGGGUUUUUUGCCUUCAACAUUUUGAAUAUAUCAUUCCAGUCUUUCAUGGCCUGUAAGGUUUUGGCUGAGAAUCUGCCUGUAGCCUUACUAAAACUCUCUAAUAUAGGAUGCACUUCUUUUAUCUUGCUGUUAUCGGGAUCCCUUCUUUGAUUUUUCACAUUUUGAUUAUAAUGUCUUAAUAUGGCCUUAUUUGGAUAAAAUAUGAUUACAGACCUUUGACCUUCCUGUACCUGGAUAGAUAUUUAUACCUUUCCUCGGAUUUAGAAAGUUUUCUGUAAUUAUUUCUUCAAGGUUUCCACAUCUUUGUCUCUUCUACUUCUUAAACUUCUAUAACUCAAAUAUUUGCUCUUUGGGUGCUCUUAUAAAUUUCCUAAGUUUUCUUCUUUCCAUUUUUGUGGGGUUUUUUGGGGGGGUUGCUUUUCUCCUCUGACAGUAUUUUUACAUAAUCUGUAUUUUUAGUUCACAAAUUCUUUCUGCUUAAUCAUUUUUCCUACUGACACUCUCCAUUGCAUUUUUUAAAAAAUUUCAUUUAAAUUUAAAUAAAGUCAAUUUCUGUUUGACUUGUGUGGGCACGUGCAUGCGUGAAUGCUAGGAAUCAAACCCAGAGCCUAGCUCAUGCUUAUCAUGUGUUCUGCCACUGAGUUACAUCCCCAGACCCUCUUAGACUUUAAAAAAAUUUUAAAUCUCUAUUAGAGUUUUCACUUUCAUCAUUUUUUUAUUUUUUAGAUAUUGUCCAAUUGUUUACCUAUAGUUUGUUGAAGUGUGCUAAGCUCUUCCUUAAAGCUAUUAUUUCAAAUUCUUUCUAAGAAGGGCCAUGGAUCUCUAUUUUCUUAAGGUUGGUAACUGGUGCGUUAAUUUGUUCCUUUGGUAGGGAUGUUUCCCUGACUCCUCUUGGUCCUUGUGGUUGAGCAUUGGUGUAUGUAUGUUUGAAUAAGCAGGAAUUGAUUCCAUUCUUUGCAGACUGGCUUUGCCUAUGAAAACUUUCCAUUAGUCAGUCUCUUUGGAGAUUCUUGGCAGGCCAUCACACAUGGUCCAUGGUCAGGUUUGCUGUUGGUGCCUGGCCUGGUGCCUGGAUCCAUGAGUUGGGCCUGAAACCUGGAUCCACAGGAACAGACCUAUUGAUUGGGUCUGUGGGAGUGGGCGUGGAGCCUAGGUCUGCACAAAUGGAGCCUGUGUCCACAUGAGGCUGACCUGAUGUUUGAGUCCAUAGGGGCUUAUCUGGUGCUGGAUAGGCCUUGGUCCUGAGUGUCUAGGGGUUGGUUGGGUGCUGGGAUGGGCUGGGAUCCACUAGACCUGAGUUUGUAGAGACUGGCCUGGAACUGAAGUAGGUCUGGACCCUGAGUCCAUAUGUAUAUGCUGUGGUCCUAGAUCUAUAGGGACUGGCCUGGAUCCUGGGUUUGGGAUAGUCUGUAGCCCUGGUUAUACUGAGUAGUCUUGGACCCUGAGCCCACUAGAACCUGGGGUCACAGGGCUGACUUGGAGCUUAGGCUGGCCUGUCAGUGGGCAGGCCUCUGGAGCCUGUUGUAUACAUGGGUGCUGCUUGGUAGUGGGGCCAGGAGUAUCAUCCUGGUUCUGGAGUAGGCCUGAAGCCUGGGGCUAUGUGGCCAACCUGGCUCUGGGUUGAUCUAGAACCUGGGACUGUCUAGUGCUGGGGUGGGUCUGGAGUGAACAUGCAUAGGGUCUAACCUGGAUUCUGAAACUGAUGGGUAAUGCUGCAGGGUCCAGCCUGGUACUGAGGCAGCUAUGAAACCUGGGACCAUGGAGCCAGUCUGGUGCUGGGGUCUACUGAUAUGAUCUGGUCUUUGGGAGGGCCUGAACCUGAGUCUAUGAGGCCUGCUUUGGCUCUGGGUUAGGUGCAAAGACACAGCUACUGGGGCCAUUAGUACUGUGGCUAACCUAGAGUCAGAGGCUGCUGUUUUUGGCUGAUGAUAGAACAGAUCUGUGCACUGAACCGAUUGGACAGGACUGGAGCUUGGGGUUGUGAUCUGGACUAGCACUGGGGUGGGCCUGGAGGCUUAGUCCUCAGGUACCAGCUUGAAGUCUGAGGCUUUGGGUUCUGGUCAGCACUGAAUUUUACAGAGCCAGAUCUCGUAUUGGGAUUUGAAGCAAUGUCACAUGCACAAUCCCAACUCCUUCCCCCAAGUGCAGGUUGUCUUUCUCCACUGUGCAUUAUCUGGGGUUUGAGAGGAAUGGCUCAGGUAGUGUCCAAUGUCCUUCCUACCCCUUUCCAAUGUGCCUUUUAUGUCUAUGCUCCACUCAAGAGCUCUGGUCUCUCACCUGAUAUCCCUAGCUCUUGUGAAGGUAUUUUUCAUGCAUAGAUAGUUGUUCAAAUUGGUGUCUUUGGGAGAAAAGGCACUGAAACAUCCUAUUCUGACAACUUGCUGACAUCCUAAUAAAGAAAAUGUUUAAUUCAGAUGAUCUCAAAGAAAUUUUAAAACAUCUUGUAAAUUCUAUUUUAGUAAGACUCCUUGUAAGGAGUCAUCAAGAUUAGUAAAUACAAGCUCUGCGUACCUUUUCUGCUUCAAACAAGAAUGACAGAUAGUGCAUGAAAUAAAUAAGUAAAGUGAUAGAAGCAGGUUCAAAACCAGAUGAGCAUUUACAUAGAGCAAUUGCAUGGACCAGAAAAGCAAGGUAGCUAUUUAAAGUGAACAACUCAGUCUUUUUGGUAUAUUCACAUAGUUGUGCAAUCAUCACAACAGUCUAAUUAUAGAACAUUUUCAUUACUCCCCAAAGAAAUCAUGUGAAUCGGGUGCAGUGGCACAUGCUUGUAAUCCCAGCAGCUUGGGAGGCUGAGGCAGAAGGAUUGCAAGUUCAAACCAGCUUCAGCAACUUAGUGAGGCCCUAAGCAACUUAGGGAGACCCUGUAUCUAAAUAAAAUACAUUUUUGGGGGGUGCUGGGCAUUGAACCCAGGGCUUUGUGUAUGUGAGGGAAGCACUCUACAAAUAAAAUACAUUUUCAAAGAAGGGUCAAGGAUAUGGCUUAGUGGUUGAGUAACUCUGGGUUCAACCCCAGGUGCCAAAAAAAAAAAAAAGAAGCCAUGUGAUCCUUAGCCAUCACUAGGCAGUCACUAACUCUAACUAAAGGUCAUUUUUCUCUAUUCAAGAAGUAAUAAAAAUUUUUUCCACAUUGAAAAGUUCAGGUUAAAGUGGCUUCACUGGAAAUUCUACCAAACAUUUUAAAAAGAAUUUCAAUCCUUCCUAAACUUUGGCAAAAAAUAAAAGAAGAGGAGAUUUAUUCUAUGAGACCAGUAUUACACAAUACUAAACCCAUCAAAAAAAAAAUCACAAGAAAGGAAAACUACAUACAAACUCUGGGAGGUGAUACCAAGUCUUUCCAACAUUUAGUUUUGAAAGUCAAAAGUCUUGAUCUGUAACCAGCGUCAAGAAAGAAUGUAGAAUGGGCAAUAGAUGCAGACCCCACUACCUCUUUAUGGUAGGGUAGCUAUUUCAAUUUGUCCACAUGGGUGCAUGUUGAUGCAUGCCAAUGAGAAAAGGCCGCUAGAAAUGGGAGCUGUUCAUAGCUUCCUCCAAUGUAUACUCCAUUUGCAGAAGCAGUAUGUGAAAGUUUGGAAGCUUCUGUCCUGUGAAGGAAUUGCACUCAUUUCAAGAGUGAGGACCAGGCAGGCCAUCCCAUGCAGAACAAUCCAGAACCCUCAUGUUCUUCACCCCUACUCCACGUUGACACCUGAGAACCUUCAUUCACAUUAAAGCAAAGGAAAUUGUACUAAUAUAUAUACAAAAAAACAUUUCAAUCAAAUGAUGUACACUUCACCAGAUUCAAAUUUAAAGAUACAGCCUGGGAUUGCUCAUUUUUGCCAUCAGACAAUUCUAUAGAGAAUAAUUUCGGGGACAAGAUCUUGUGCGUACAGAGGGCCUCUGGAUUUUUCCUAGUCCUUGACAGUAGUACAUUUACCAAGAAUCUACUUUAACCUUGCUGUCAAAUUUAGGCCAAUAAAGACACAUUAAAAAAAAAGUAAGAACUCUAAGGUCGCUUGCUUACAAAUAGUCCCUAAAAUUUGUUCAGGAUGUGCAGAGGAGAGUUUCUAUAAGCAAAAUAAGCAAGACACACAAAGGAAACAUCUGUACGCAUGCCUUGCUUUCUAGAAGAAAACUUGUCUUUUCUUCCAAAAAGAGAGAUAAAUAGAUCUGUAAAACAAAGAUUAUUGAAAACCUCAGUGGAUGAAGUCUCAGAAAUAUGCACAACUGACUUUAAAAUGCCUGUUAAUUUCAAUGACAAGGGACUCUCAAGCAGACUUUAUAAUCCUUUAAUGAUUUAGAGGACAUUUCUACUAUCUGAUAAACAGUCAUCUCAAGUCACCAGUAUUUAACACUAUAAUCACUGGGGAAUGUGUCGUUGGGCCUCCAAAAGCCCCAUUUCCCUCAUUUGCCCCUGAGAUUAACAGCAUCCAAAAGACAGGUAUUGUGUUUGCUCUGGGAGCAUGGAGCCCCUUAAAUCCCCCUGGCACCAUCUGGACUAAUUCUAUUUUAAGACAAACUAGGUGAGGCCUUCUAAUCACUGGCCAAUCUCUUAUCACAAAGUCAGAAUUCUGUAACUUCCAGUCGCUUAAUCCUUCUUGCUUUCCAAUACCAUAUUAAGUGUUAGUCCUCAACUAACACUUUUUUUUUUCCAUUAACAAAAAAAUAGCAGAGGGUUGUAGUAUAGGAAAUCUGAUGAAUCAUGAGGGUGAGCUCACAGGUUAAAAAUGGGGACAACUAAAAUACUAAAUGAAGGGUCGAAAAGAACUUCUAUUUCUAUCAGUGUCUUUAGGUUACAAAAAGUAGAGCAAAGGGCUCAUGGGAAGGCAAACGCAUAGAUAGAUGCUGGAAAAAAAGGGCUGUCCGUUGAGGAAUGCGUCCAAGACAGCUCUUGGAAAAGUGCUCAUUUUAUUUUAUUACAUAAUAAAAAAAGAAAAAUAAAGUUUUGGUUUUGCUUUUUUCCAAAAGGACCAAGCCAAAGUAGUUUGCGGCAUGUGCUAUGAACUCAUUCACAGAGGAACUGAUAUAUUUUAGAGUUAAGUUGUCUAAAAAUAGCUGUUUCAUCCAUUCUGGGACAUUUUUUCAGUCUUUUGCCAAGAAUCCAAUUAAUGUGUGGGUUGGUUUUUUUUGGGGGGGGGGCAAUUUUAUGUGGUUUUCUAUCUCUUAAUUUUUUAUAAAGAAUAUUCAUGCAGUUGAAUGGAUAUGAAUAAUAUGAUAUGUGAGAAGCUGGGCUGUUAAGUCUCCUAAUGCUAUUACUUGAUUCCCUGAGGCCCAGGACUUUUACAAAGACCCAUUAACUCAGUGAAGCUCCUCUUAAUGCCCUCUUUCUCACUGUGCCCAGGUUCCGCCAUAUUUCACUUCUGCAGAGAGCUGUUGCUCAGAUCCUGCCUUUGUGAAACCAGCAGUUUGAAGGGGCCAGUGAAGAGACCUGAAGGACAGGAAGUGGGCGCCAGGCAUGCACCAUGACCCUUGCUCCAAGUUCCUGCAGGUACAGGGAAAUUCCUCAAUCUAGAAGGAGAAACUGGCCUAUCUUCUGGGGCACCAGUAAAUGCUAAUGAAACAACAAAUCAUGUCCAAUACAGUAAGGAAUAAAAUGCACAUGGACUUUUAAGGCAAAGAC
rnacentral:lncRNA from 1 species